UACGUAGGGCGCAAGCGUUGUCCGGAAUUAUUGGGCGUAAAGAGCUCGUAGGUGGCGUGUCGCGUCUGCCGUGAAAGCCCAUGGCUUAACUAUGGGUCUGCGGUGGAUACGGGCAGGCUGGAGGCUGGUAGGGGCAAGCGGAAUUCCUGGUGUAGCGGUGAAAUGCGCAGAUAUCAGGAGGAACACCGGUGGCGAAGGCGGCUUGCUGGGCCAGUUCUGACGCUGAGGAGCGAAAGCGUGGGGAGCGAACAGG
rnacentral:rRNA from 1 species